UCCCUUCUACGCCAGCCAGUGCGCUCAUCAGUCCCUGCGGAAAGGGCUGCCUUCUUUUCUUUUGUAGUGUCUUUCCUUGUGCCUUUUCAUCUAUCCUUUCACGCUGUUCUCGGGGCAUCGGUUCGUCGAAAUCGGGGGGAGGGGUGGGCGAUCAAGCUUCUUUUUCCUUCUCAAGUGGAAGCCAGAUCUUUGUUUCACCUGUCAGUGCUACUUCUAGAUUGUAUUUUCUUCGAGAAAAGGGCCCCCAGCGACCUCAUGGUCCCUUCUCUCUCGCUAUUGUCACUGUCCCUGUUUGCAGAAUAAGUCCACCCCCCCUCCAGCACUGCGCAUUCGGCACCCCAGUGAGGCAGGAAGCUGGAAGGACGGGUGACUCCGCACUCUCGUCCGUACUUAGACAGAGAAUCUAAGUGCAUCGAUGCCCUUAUAUGAAAGACGCACUCGAUUCCUACCGGUGUGGCCCUCGGUGUAAGCGGCUCGAUCACACACACACACGCACACCUCCCCCAGAAGUCGAGUCCACGGAGACGAAUGUGCCGACUCGUUUGAUGGCCUCGAUGUCGCUCUCUCAUUUUUCUUCCCUGCCUCAGGCUAGCGAAGAAAAGGGAGUAGUUCCAUACACGCCUCCUGCAGCUGGGGUGCGACUUCCAUGCCACCGCGUUUUUAUUCCCACAUUUUUCUUUCGUUGCUUCUGUGCUUCCCCUUCCCCUCCCCCCCCGUACCCCCUUGCCAUAAUUUGGUUUGUGCCUGCUCUCUUUUUGAAGCGGACACUCUCUCAGUCGUUUCUGUUCUUUCACAAGGACAACGGGCGUCGUUUUUCUCUCGUGCUCGUGUGCUUCGCUGGGUUGGUAAUACGAUGACUAACACCUCUUCCCUCCCCUCCUAUAUUCAUAAACCCCUCUUUGCCUCGCCCCCAUAGGUGCUGUUCUUUUCGACGUUGCUUGUUUCGCGGGUGUGUCGAAGUUCUGUUUCGGCCCACCCCCACCCCUGCUUCUGUCGUCUUCUAUACCCCUCCCCCACCUCCAUCCCUUUCACAUCCUCCUCCCCCCUCCCGCUUCGAUAUAUAUAUAUAUAUUUCUUGCUAUCCUUUUCCCCUUGAUGAUGACACACUGCACACCAAAAGCAGAAGCGAAACCAUCGCGUUCGGCAAGUCGAUGUACGCUGAGCAACGCAGCCGCACGCGAGUGUAUGUGGAGAUACAAAUACCCUGAUACACGUCCUCCCUUCACGAGUGCACUCGGAUGUUCUCUCGCGUGAGGAGUAGGUUUCGAUCCUUACCAAACACAUCAUGAACGGAAACAGAAAAGCAGGCUAAUAACAGAAACGAAUAAGAGCAAUGGAUUGAACGGAGGACUUGUCGUUUUUUCGUGAGUGUGUCGCUCUCGCGCCCUCAUUCACUCCUCUCUCCCUCCCUCCAGCCUUUUCGUUUUUUUUUUGAUUUACUCGGUUUUCUGUGUCGUUAGCGACUCUCAAGCUCGUCCUCUGUCGCGUGUUUUCUGGCCGUCACGCACGAUCUCCUGUCUCUAUACAGGCGAGAAACUUAUCACCACCACCAAGCCGGGGCUCUUCUUCUUUUCCCUCCUCUCCCUCUAUAACCCCCCCACCCAGCUUUCACCUCCUUUACCCCCCCACCUCUCGCCGCUUUUGCCGCUGGUGUACCUCUCUCCCUUUCGCCAGGGCAAGAAAC
rnacentral:misc_RNA from 1 species